rnacentral:rRNA from 1 species
UACGUAGGGUGCAAGCGUUGUCCGGAAUUAUUGGGCGUAAAGAGCUCGUAGGCGGUUUGUCGCGUCUGCUGUGAAAACUCGGGGCUUAACUCCGGGCCUGCAGUGGGUACGGGCAGACUAGAGGUAUGCAGGGGAGAACGGAAUUCCUGGUGUAGCGGUGAAAUGCGCAGAUAUCAGGAGGAACACCAAUGGCGAAGGCAGCUCGCUGGGACGUGACUGACGCUGAGACGCGAAAGCGUGGGGAGCAAACAGG